UGACCCAGUUCAUGUGAAUCUCAUUUGUGAUGCAGCUGAUGGUUCAAAACUUGAACAGAUCCUAUCAGCUGGCAAUUCCUCUGCAGCCCUGUGCAAUUUCACCAUCACAGAACAUGCCUGUUCCUCUGCUGCCUAUCUCACAUCCAGCAACUUGCCCACACUGCUGAACUGCACACUGAAAAGCCAAAACAUAUACCCGGUAGAAGUCUGGAAGCUUUUCUUCCAAAAAGCUUCUGCUGUACUGACCAG